CCAGUCUAAUCAUAAAGAAAACAUCAUACAAAUCCCAACUGAGAGACACUCUACAAAACUUCUGGCUGGUACUCCUCAGAACGACCAAGGUUGUCAAACAUGAGGAAAGUCUGAGAAACUGCCACAGCCAAAGGAAGACUAAGGAGACAUGACUGAUAAAUGCCAUAUGGUAUCUGGGAUGAAAUCCUGAAACAGUAAAAGGUUCACCAACUGGGCAGCAGAGAAAAGUGGGAAGGAAUUUUCCACUACUAUGAAAACCACAUUGAGCAAAGAGAAACGACAUUCUGGAAUGGAGGAACUUCAAACCUGAAGAUAAUGGAGAAUGAUGAAUCCUUCUUUUCCCAAUUCUGCACUGAUCUCUUCAUCUGCACAA